rnacentral:rRNA from 1 species
AUUGAACGCUGGCGGCAUGCCUUACACAUGCAAGUCGAACGGUAACGGGCCUUCGGGUGCCGACGAGUGGCGAACGGGUGAGUAAUACAUCGGAACGUGCCCGAUCGUGGGGGAUAACGAGGCGGAAGCUUUGCUAAUACCGCAUACGAUCUACGGAUGAAAGCAGGGGACCGCAAGGCCUUGCGCGGACGGAGCGGCCGAUGGCAGAUUAGGUAGUUGGUGGGAUAAAAGCUUACCAAGCCGACGAUCUGUAGCUGGUCUGAGAGGAUGAUCAGCCACACUGGGACUGAGACACGGCCCAGACUCCUACGGGAGGCAGCAGUGGGGAAUUUUGGACAAUGGGCGCAAGCCUGAUCCAGCCAUGCCGCGUGCAGGAUGAAGGCCUUCGGGUUGUAAACUGCUUUUGUACGGAACGAAAAGCCUUCUUUUAAUACAGGAGGGUCAUGACGGUACCGUAAGAAUAAGCACCGGCUAACUACGUG